rnacentral:lncRNA from 1 species
GGCCCUGGUGCUCGGUGUCCUGGGCCUGAGUCUUGGCUCACCAAGAGCCCGCACAGCCGAGUGCCGGCCCAACCGUGACCGCUCUGAGGAGAAGGCGGCAGCCACAGGGCAAGGAGCUGCUCGGGUGCCCUAGGACGGCAGUGGUCCCUGCAUGAACCCAAGCGGGGCCACUUGAGUGCCAAGAGGAAGGGAGACUAAAGUGACUGGAACACACCAAAUACUCAAACACUGGUGAGCCUAUGAAGAAACUGAGAGGAAAACACUUCUCUCUCUGCCACCAUCGGUGACUCUCAUCCCAACCCCUCUCCACGGCGACACGCGGUGAAGGAGGAAGCACGCGACAGAGAAAGUUACACAGGAGAUAAUGACGUCCCCACUGUCCUCUGGGAGAUGCUCGUGCUGCCGUAGCUGCCACUCUGGAGUCCAGCCUGGACGGGGCUGGCCGCAGAGGGCUUCACACUCGCGGCUGAGCCAGGAGCCGUUUGCUGUGUGGCAGGUGCGGUGCGAGCUGACCAAUUACUCGGCGGGGGCCGGGGGGACAAUGAUGUGUGGGUUCCUGGUUUACUGGAGAUGCAUGCUGAAGUUUCUGAGGGUGGAGUGUUGACAUUUUACUAAUGUACUUUGAAAUGGAUCAGCAACAACAGAUAUAGCAGUUGAUGGACCAAGCAAAGGUGUCCGAGGCCGACAAUGUGGAGUCUGGGAGGAUGCGGGGUCCGGGUUGCAGCGCGUGGAGCCUUGUUCUGCUGUUCUGUUUUCCUCUAUGCUUGAAAUUUUUCUUAGUUAAAAAGAAUCAGGCGGGAUCCCCCCAAGAGCUGCAGAUGAAUGUUAAGUUUUCCUGAGCCACAGGCCCUGCAGUCUGGGCUCCACACAGAGCAGGGUUUGUCU